GCUCGGGAAGCCUCUCUCUGCUUUGGCGUUUUAUAAACCUCGUUAGCCCCCUUGGACCUUGCUGUUCCCUUAAUACAGAUGAGGAUACUGAGGUUCAGAGAGGUUGAGGAGUUGGACCAGCUCACGCUAUAUGAGGAACCCAGGGCACGAACAUGCCGAGUUGUUGGUCUGGGCCGGCCAGCUUGAUGCAGAGCAAGACGGAAGGAGUCAGGGCCUCAGCCUCUGCGGCUGCUCGGUUCUGGGGAAGCAGGGCCCGGAGGCCUGCUGCUCAGCAGCGAGUUGAGGAAGCUGUAUCCUGAACCCUUUGCCACAGCCCAGGGAAGAUGAGUCAGGCACGAGGCAAAUCCAAGCCAAAGAGCGUACCUUGGCUUCAGCCUGUGGAGCCCACCUGUCUGUCAGCAUCCUGGCGCAGGACUGGGAGGGCGGAACCCAGGGCCACCGAGAAGAAGCACCACACUCCUUCCAGUCCUGCUCAGCUUUCCAUGAAGCACCCUUUUCCUCGUGGGGAACCGAAAAAGCCCAUUCCCCAAACGGCAGACCACCCCCAACAUAUUCCAUUUCCAAACAAAUAGAGUAAAAUCAUGUUCCCAGAUUUUUAUUGAAUAUUUUACUCUCUUCAAAGCAUCAUCAUAGACUCUGGUGGGGGUGAGGGGUAGGAGGGACUGAGAUGAACAAAUGGCUGUGUCCAAAUUCACCAUCCAGUAGGAAGAAGAGUUGAAAAUAGCUGAUGAGAAUUUUUGGCCAAAUUCAUACGUUUGAUAAGUAUUUAUUGAAUAGCUAGUGUGUAUCAGGCAUUGUUCUAGGUGGUUGUGGGCCACAGUAGUGGCAGAACGCCCCCCAAAAUUCCUGUCUGAGUUUCCCAGCUCUCGGGGUGGGGGAUUGGCACGGCAGUGACUUCAUUCCUGAAGAGCAGAAGAACCAUGAAGAAAAAUUGAGUGGGGAAGGAGAGUGCUGAGGCUGGUCCUUUUAGAAACCAAGAGGGAGAACGCGGUGUGUCCUGGUGGAGACUGACAGAUCUGACAGGGAAUCUGGCCUUCCACACCUGCUGUGUGACCUUUGUUUCUACGGCCAACUGGUCUGAAGCUUGCUUUUCUCAUCCAUACAGUAGGGCGAGUCGUAGACACUCAUAAAGGGAUUCAGUGAGGCAAAAAUAUACAAAUAUAAAUAAUAGAUAAUAAAUAAAUAAAUGAUAAAUAACAUAAUAAAUAAUAAAAAAUAUAUAAAACGCACGCCUAAUUAGGGCUCUGUGAGUACUUGCUCUUUUCAGCAUUAUGUGCUUAUCAUAAGGUGACGA